rnacentral:rRNA from 1 species
UACGAAGGGGGCUAGCGUUGCUCGGAAUCACUGGGCGUAAAGCGCACGUAGGCGGCUUUGUAAGUUAGAGGUGAAAGCCCGGAGCUCAACUCCGGAACUGCCUUUAAGACUGCAUCGCUAGAAUUGUGGAGAGGUGAGUGGAAUUCCGAGUGUAGAGGUGAAAUUCGUAGAUAUUGGAAGAACACCAGUGGCGAAGGCGACUCACUGGACACAUAUUGACGCUGAGGCGCGACAGCGUGGGGAGCAAACAGG